AACGAACGCUGGCGGCAUGCCUAACACAUGCAAGUCGAACGAGACCUUCGGGUCUAGUGGCGCACGGGUGCGUAACGCGUGGGAAUCUACCCUUGGGUUCGGAAUAACUCAGAGAAAUUUGAGCUAAUACCGGAUGAUGUCGCAAGACCAAAGAUUUAUCGCCCAAGGAUGAGCCCGCGUAGGAUUAGCUUGUUGGUGAGGUAAAAGCUCACCAAGGCGACGAUCCUUAGCUGGUCUGAGAGGAUGAUCAGCCACACUGGGACUGAGACACGGCCCAGACUCCUACGGGAGGCAGCAGUGGGGAAUAUUGGACAAUGGGCGAAAGCCUGAUCCAGCAAUGCCGCGUGAGUGAUGAAGGCCUUAGGGUUGUAAAGCUCUUUACCCGGGAUGAUAAUGACAGUACCGGGAGAAUAAGACCCCGGGCUAACUCCGUGCCAGCAGCCGCGGUAAU
rnacentral:rRNA from 1 species